rnacentral:rRNA from 1 species
AUUGAACGCUGGCGGCAGGCCUAACACAUGCAAGUCGAACGAGUGGCGGACGGGUGAGUAAUGUCUGGGAAACUGCCCGAUGGAGGGGGAUAACUACUGGAAACGGUAGCUACUACAGCAUACCAUGGGAUGUGCCCAGAUGGGAUUAGCUAGUAGGGGGGGUAAUGGCUCACCUAUGCGACGAUCCAUAGCUUGUCUGAGAGGAUGACCGGCCAUACUGGAACUAGGCCACGGUCCAUACGCCUACGGAAGGCAGCAGUGGGGAAUAUUGCACAGUGGGCGCAAGCCUGAUGCAGCCAUGCCGCGUGUAUGAAGAAGGCCUUCUGGUUGUAAAGUACUUUCAGCGGGGAGGCGUUACCCGCAGAAGAAGCACCGGCUAACUCCGUGCCAGCAGCCGCGGUAAUAC